ensembl:lncRNA
GUGAAUAAGGUGUGAUCAUCAUCAUCAUCAUCAUCAUCUCAGCCAACCGGCUCCAUCAGACAUGGCAGCGCGCACAUCAGAGCCGCUCUGUCAGCCGUGCGUCUACCAUGAGGCGUUCAAAGGUAAGUCCCAGCUUUGCACUGUCCUUUUGUGGAAAUGUCUUAAAUUACCUUGGAGGAAGGUGUGGCCUGCAGGAACACCCCCCCAACCAUCCCAACUUGGACCUGCAGGAACACACCGACCACUCCCCUCCUGCACCCCCCCAACCAUCCCAACUUGGACCUGCAGGAACACACCGACUCCCCCUCCUGCACCCCAUCCUCCUCCUUCACCCCCCAACCAUCCCAACUUGGACCUGCAGGAACACACCCACCACUCCCCUCCUGCACCCUCCCCCCCAACCAUCCCAACUUGGACCUGCAGGAACACACCCACCACUCCCCUCCUGCACCCCAUCCUCUCCUCCUUCACCCCCCAACCAUCCUAACUUGGACCUGCAGGAACACACCCACCACUCCCCUCCUGCACCCCAUCCUCUCCUCCUUCACCCCCCCAACCAUCCUAACUUGGACCUGCAGGAACACACCCACCACUCCCCUCCUGCCCCCCAUCCUCUCCUCCUUGUUGUUGUGUAAAGUUUGUUAUAUCAUGUAACAUUUGCUUUGCUUGGCCCCUCCGAUGCUUUUCAUUUCGUAGGAUGUUUGUGAAGGGAAAGUGAGGGUAUAAUAGGCCCUGUCAGACAGGCCUAUAUGCUGAUCUGGAUUUCCCUUUGUGGUUAGUGGAGCUACAGGUGAGGAGACCUCUGAUGCCGGUCCAGCUGGGUCCAGAGCAGGUGGGCCUGGAGAUGCUCUGUCUGUGUGAGCAGCUGGACCUCCUCAUCCGGGCACAGAUGCAGCAGUUCCAGGAGCAGUUGGGACACGGCUGCAGCCCGGAGGAAUCGGACACUUUCCAGGCUCAAGGAUCAGAGAUUCUUGACCAGAUGCUGCAGUGCCUUGAACAUCUACCAAAGCCUAUGCCCCAGCUGGAGGACUACCUGGACAUGAUGGGUCUGUCAGCGAUGUUUCCUCGUGUGGAGGUGUUCCUCAUUCAAGGCAGCCCCGUGGAAAUGUUGGAGAGGCCCCCGAUGGAUGAUUACUUCUUCCACAUUGCCAAACUGAACCAGCUCUUGGUGCUGAGUCAACAGCUCGAGGAAGAUAUGAGGCACCUUGGAAGUCACAAAUACAUCGCCCACCAGCUCUCGGUGAUAUAUCAAGUCAUCAGCUCAUUCGGGGGAAUUCAGGUCUUCUCUGAGAUAAAGAAAGAUAUCGAGGCCAACUUCAAACAGAUGAAACAGUCUCUCGCGAGCGACGAGGGCUCCAGGCAUGAGCCUCAGCUGGCUGCUCACUACACCAACUGGAUAUUAGAAAUAACUCAGAGCGUGAUAUCGGUGGUGUUGUCACUACCGGAGGAGCUGACGGACGACCUUCACCAGGCUGUGACCUUCGUGUCCCAUCUCCUGUCCUGACUCACCCCCCGGCGAACGGACACCUCUGACUCUACAAACCCCCCGGUGGUCUGAUGCACCGGGCCUUUCUCCGGGAGUCUCCUGCUUCUAGAUGAACUGAUGUUGUUAUGACUGUGAACAGGUGCUACAUACAUUGAUUCAACUGACUGAUGGUGCGGGGUUGGAAAAGCCUAUACUUCAUUCACAAAUCGUCUAGGUUUUUAUACGUCCCCUCUGAAUGUGGCUCAUAUAAGUCUGUGGUGAGUCAGUUGUUCGGAAAAGGAAUGUAAUCUUGUCGAAUCCCUCCUUGCACUGCUGUUAAUAAUAACUGCUGUUGUAAUUUUUUUAACCUUAAGUGAAAUAAUAAAGUUGAAUGCAAUAGGGAGGCUUUUGCAUGUCCUCGCUGUAGACAUCAUCGCUACACACUUGUACUUUGUCAUGGCAGGAAGAAAAACACCGGUGAAGGACUGCAACUAAAGAUUAUUUUCUUUAAGGGUCAAUCAAAAAGGGUGGCAUAGUGGAACAGUGGUUAGCACUGUCGCCCAGGGGAACCCAGGUACUGAGUUUAAAUCUGAUGGCCGUCUGGGGCCUUACUGUUAUCGUGGGGCCUGCAUGUUCUCCACUUUCUGCACUACAGUUGUUUUAAAUGUGCUUCAUAAAGAACCUUGAUUUGACUUGACAUGCAUUAAGUUCAGGUAAAGGGCUCCCCCUGCUGUUCAAUUCCUGCAACAUGUUGAAUGAGGAAAUGCCAUGACAGCUCCCUUCUGAAAUGAACUGAGUUAAUUAAAAUACAGGGACCGUAUGAAUCAAAUUUUUAAUAUUACGCGA